rnacentral:rRNA from 1 species
GACAGCAGUCGCCACGGGAAUACAGAGGGUGCGAGCGUUAAUCGGAUUUACUGGGCGUAAAGCGUGCGUAGGCGGCUUCUUAAGUCGGAUGUGAAAUCCCUGAGCUUAACUUAGGAAUUGCAUUCGAUACUGGGAAGCUAGAGUAUGGGAGAGGAUGGUAGAAUUCCAGGUGUAGCGGUGAAAUGCGUAGAGAUCUGGAGGAAUACCGAUGGCGAAGGCAGCCAUCUGGCCUAAUACUGACGCUGAGGUACGAAAGCAUGGGGAGCAAACAGGAUUAGAUACCCCAGUAGUCCCUGUCUCUUAUAC